CAACAAUAACAACAAAAACAAUAACAACAGCGAUUGUUAUAAUAAUAAAUACAUUACAGAAAUAAAUGAGUGUAAUUAUAAUAGUAGUAAUUAUCAAGAAAACAGUUACAAUAAUAUGUAUUUUUUAAUUGCUCAAAAUGCAGAUAAAAAUAUAAAAAAAAAAAAUGAAUAUAAUACUAUUUGUUCUAAUAAAUUAAUACAAAAUAUACAAGAAAAUACAUCAAGUGAAACUAUAUUAUUUUUAACUUUAAUAAUUAUGAUUUGUAUAUCUAUUUUAUGUAAUUAUGAUCAUGGUGCUAUUCCUGUAACAUUAGAAGAAAUACAAAAAGAUUUUCCAAUGGGUUAUAUAGAACAAUCAUUACUUGGUAGUUUAGUUUAUUUUGGUUUAAUUAUAGGUACUAUAAUUGCUAGUAUAUUAUUUGAAUUGAUAUCAGCCAAAAUAUUAGUUACAAUAAGUAUUAUAUUGUUAUCCAUAUCAUUGUAUAUAUUUAGUUACGCUACUUGUAUUACUUCUAUGUAUAUAUCUCGAUUUAUUAAUGGUUUGUGUCAGGCUAUACCUGUUGUUUAUUUACCUGUAUGGGUGGAUGAGUUUUCACCUACUGAAAAAGCAACUCAAUGGAUGUCAUAUAUUCAAUUAGCUUCAAUAGGAGAUAUUAUUAAUAUUAAUUCAAACAGUAGUGAUGAUGGUAGUACUAUAAAUAACCAAAAUACUAUAAUUUCAAACGGGUAUAAAAAUAAUUUAAAUAAAUAUAAAAAAAUAAUUAUAAAUGAUUAUGAUGAAGCUUACCAUGGUGAUACAUAUGAAGAUUCAUAUGAAGAUACAUAUAGAAAUACAUAUAGAGAUACAUAUAGAGAUACAUAUAGAGAUACAUAUGGUUAUAACUCUAAUGAAAAUGGUAACAUAUACAUUUAUCAUGAACAAUAUGAAUUAUUGUCUAAUAGUGUAAGCGAUACUAAUGAAGAAAUCUCUACACAAGUUGAUCAAUUUAAUUUUAAUAACAGUUCUACAAUUAUGACUGAUAAUAACAGUGAUGGCAAUAACAGUGGCAAUAAUAAUAGCAAUAAUAAUAAAAGAGAAAAAAAAAAAACAACGGGACAAAAAACAACGGGACAAAAAACGACGGGACAUAAAACAACUGGAAAAAAUGUGCAUAAAAUAUCAAAUAAUAUUAAUAGAAUUACAGAAAGAGCUACCUCUGAUAGUGGUAAAUAUAUUUCAAAUAAAAUACACCUCGAAAUGAAUGCAUCUACUAUUAUGAAUAAGAAAAAGAGAAAUAAUACUAUUAAUACAAGUUAUAACAAACAUAAUAUUUCCUUCAAUAAAUCAGCCACCUACAUAAUGGAACGUAAAACAAAUGUAUUAAAAAAAACAUUAAAUGAAGUAAAAAAAUUACUUAACAAUAAAUUAUAUAUAAUUGUAACUUUAGGAAUGAGUAAUUUAUAUUUUGUAGUAACAGGAAUACAAUUUUGGAUUACUGAAUAUAUGUCUGUUGUUUUAUUAACAGAAAAAAUGAAAAUAGUUACUGUAUCUACUUUAUGCUUUUUAACUUCACCUACAUCUGGAGUAUGGUUUGGUGGUUUUGUAUGUGAUAAGUUUGGAGGAUAUAAAAAUAAUAAUUAUGCUAAAACAGUUAAAGUUGCAACAGCCUUUGCUAUUUGUGCCUGCAUUUUUGGUAUAAUAUCAGCUCAUUUGAAUAAUUUUGUUUUUUUUUCGAUUACGUUGUGGCUUUGUUUAUUUUUUGGAUCAGCACUUGUUCCGGUAGCAGUGGGGAUGUUGUUAUCAUGUGUAAGUAACCAUCAAAAAAAUUUAUCUUCAGCCGUGUCACAAGUGAUAUAUAACGUUUUCGGUUGGUUCUCAGCUCCUUUAUUGUCAGGCACAAUAAUGGAUAUCAUGCAUAAAUACACUAAUGACAACAGAUUAGCUUUAAAGUAUGUUAAAAAAACAAAAACAAACAAACGAACGAAAAAAUAAGAGGGUUACCCAGUAUAACUGCAUGCGUAGACAUACAUGUACAUANNNNNNNNNNNNNNNNNNNNNNNNNNNNNNNNNNNNNNNNNNNNNNNNNNNNNNNNNNNNNNNNNNNNNNNNNNNNNNNNNNNNNNNNNNNNNNNNNNNNAAUGAUACUAUACUCAAGUUUUAUUGGAUUUAUUUUUUUAUUUUAUGCGAACUUCUUGGUAAUAUAAUUAAAACAAAUGAGAAAAAAAAAAAAGAAAAAAAAAAAGAAAAAAAAAAGAAAAAAAAAAGAAAAAAAAAAAGAAAA
rnacentral:lncRNA from 1 species